ensembl:snRNA U6 U6 spliceosomal RNA
UUGCUUUGGCAGCACAAAUACUAAAAAAUUGGAAUGAUUCAGAGAAGAUUAGCAUGGCCCCUACACAAGGAUGUCAUGCAAAUUCAUGAAGCAUUUCAUAUAAGA